rnacentral:lncRNA from 1 species
CAUCCUGCAUUAUGAUAUAAAUAAAUAACCAGCUGUAUAGAACGUACCUCAAUUCACUCUGUAUCCUUUAAUUACUUUAUUUAUUUACUUUAGUUUAUGCCUGAAAAGGAUCAGAUUUGUUACUUUAUUGUUAUUAAAUUUGAACAGAUUAAAAAUAGUUAUACUCAGCAUACAUGUAUAGUGAUAUAUCUUGAAUAUAUACAUUUGCUUGACUUGGUCAAUAAAAAAGUAUUGAGCCAUUCAAGUGAUUAUAUAGUUAUUUUAAUAAAUCUAGAAAUCAGAUUUUAAACAUUUUGUGUAUUUGUUUUUAAACUUUUUUAUUUCUUUGAAUGUGAGUGCAGUUUUCUUGUGUGCUGCAGUGGCUCACUCUUGGACGGGUGCUGCUGAGGACGCUCUGAGCUGGAAUUCACCUUCUGGGCUUCAGUGUCCUGUUUUUAAGUCUAUGCUCUCCAAUCAAGACUGAAGUGUUUUAUAAUUCAUGUCUUCUAGUUGUAGCCAUUGUCAGCGUUUCAUAUAACAUUAGCUUCUGAAAGGUGACGUACAAGUGUUGACAUAAUAGUUCUUUGGAAGAGUGUGACUGGAAAAAUGUAACUGUUAAGGUCUUUAUGAUGUCAUUUAAAACACAAAUCUUGGGAGGAAUAAUGGAGGUGUUAGUCCUGGUCAUGAAGUUCCCUGGUUGGCUUCAUCUGGAAGCUAAAAUGGCCCUAAAUUCACAGGCAUGUUCCAGUUCGUGUUGGGUGUUAGAAAGCUGCUCCUUUGUGGAGAAGGCCGCUCCCCCGGGCUGCCUGUACUUGUUUUCAUUCUUUAUCCUAUUGUAAUUGCUGGUAGUUACUGUUCUAGCACACAGCCUUUCCAUUCAUGGCCAUUGGACCAAUGGGGUUGUAUCAACAGUAUUCUCAGUUCAAAACUUUUUAAUAGAGCCCACCCACUUGAGCUUUUUCUCUUUUAAUUUAAUGAAAAGUGACUUUCCUGAAUUUGAAGACACUGUAAGAACCUUCUCUACUUGGAAUUAGAAUUGUCAGUACAAAAUUAAAAACAUAAACCCAAAGUAUUGGUAAGAAUCUAUGCCUGCCUAUUUUCCUUCUGCUGAUGAAUUUUUAAUUUUUUAAAUUAAAAUAUUGAAUUGAAGGGACUACAUCCCAGACAAAGUGACUCCUAAAUUGCUUGUGAAAGAGUAAUUCUCUAAGUGUUACACAUCUGGCUUUGAUUGAGGCCUUUAUAAAUUUCCUUUCAAUGGGUUUUAAAAAAUGACUUAAAUGUUUUUGAAGAAACUGUCUAAUUCCAAAGUAGAUAUGCUUUAAAAUUGAAAAUAUGGGCAAUUAAGUUUUUAGGGAACGUGGAUUAUUUAGAAGUCUCAAUCCCCGCCCCCUCCCCUGCAUUCAUGAGUGCCCUGCUCGCUGAGGUCACAUUAACCAUGGCUGUGGGGCUCUCUAGGCUUCUUUUGUUUCUUUUUGGUAACACUUUUGUCUUUCUGUUUUCUCCUAGGUAUGAAGUAGGCUAAGGGUUGUUUGUAUACUGUGAAUUGAUUAGGUUAUGAUUCAUAAAUUACUGAGAAUUUUAUUUCUUGAUUGAUAAACUGAAGAGAACUAUAUAUCUAAAUGGCAAUUGCUUACCUACAUUGUAGAAGACAAAGUAGAGAGAGAAGAGAUAAAAUAGGGAACAGAAAUGUGAGAAUUGGAGAGAUUUGCCUCUCCCAAGCCUGUUAUAUAUUACUUCCUGUUUUAAUCUAUUUGUUUUUACUUUUUCUCAUUAAAAUUUUAAGUGCAGAAAAUGGGCAUUACUUAUUCUGUCUUUGAAACUCCCAGAUUCCAACAAUGUGAACGCAGUUAUAAGAGAUUAGCUGCUUUGUGUUUUAGCCUUUGCAAGUAUAGCUCUCAAGAUUUUUAUAAAAUAAGUAAACAAAGAUGAUAUAGCCCUGGAAUCAUGCCACAAGUUCAUACUUUUGCACUACGGACAUCGAGUCUUUAAUUUGGAAUCAGUGGGUCAGUCCCCACCCUACCUGGUUCAUGUACACACCUGUAUGUAUGUAUGUACACAUACUAUAUAAUGCAAUCAAUGUGUUUUUCUAGUAUAGUUGUUUUUAAAUUGACUUUUGGCUUCUUCCCUCUCUCAUCAUAUAAUGAAGAGUAAAAUACCAACCCACCAUUCCAAAUUUAGAUACGAUGCCAUGUCUGCAUUACUGAUACUCAGGUCCUAAGGACUUAGAAACUCUUUAGUCAUCAAACAGCUUUCUCUGAGAUAUAUUGUCUCAUACAAACAUCACAAGAGAACAUAUAUUUGGGAAAAAACUUUCAGAAAGGAUUGAAGCAUUACUUUUUUUUUUUGUUUGUUUUUUGUUUUUUUGUUUUUUCGAGACAGGGUUUCUCUGUAUAGCCCCAGCUGUCCUGGAACCACUUUGUAGACCAGGCUGGCCUCGAAAAGCACUACUUUCUUGAUUUUGCUUUGUGAUAAGAAAAAAAAAAAAACCUAUAAAGCUUUAUCUGUAAUUCUCUUUCUCAAUACAAGCUUAAAACAAACAAACAAACAAACAAACAAAACAGGAACUACCACCACCACCAAACUAAAAAUCUAGUUGGGACUGGAAAGAUGUACUUAAGAGCAUUUGUUGUCUUGCAAAGGACCCAAGUGUGGCUCCCAGCAGCCACAUGGUAACUCGUAGUCAUCCAUAACUCCAGAUCCAGGGCAUCCAGUAUUCUCUGCUGAUUUCUCUGGGAAUGAGACACACACAGUGCUCAGGUAACAUUGCAGUCAAAGCACUCAAACUCAU